AUUGAACGCUGGCGGCAUGCCUUACACAUGCAAGUCGAACGGUAACAGGUCUUCGGAUGCUGACGAGUGGCGAACGGGUGAGUAAUACAUCGGAACGUGCCUAGUAGUGGGGGAUAACUACUCGAAAGAGUGGCUAAUACCGCAUGAGAUCUACGGAUGAAAGCAGGGGAUCGCAAGACCUUGUGCUACUAGAGCGGCCGAUGGCAGGUUAGGUAGUUGGUGGGAUAAAAGCUUACCAAGCCGACGAUCCGUAGCUGGUCUGAGAGGACGAUCAGCCACACUGGGACUGAGACACGGCCCAGACUCCUACGGGAGGCAGCAGUGGGGAAUUUUGGACAAUGGGCGAAAGCCUGAUCCAGCAAUGCCGCGUGCAGGAUGAAGGCCUUCGGGUUGUAAACUGCUUUUGUACGGAACGAAAAGCCCCGGGUUAAUACCCUGGGGUCAUGGCGGUACCGUAAGAAUAAGCACCGGCUAACUACGUGCCAGCCGCCGCCGUAA
rnacentral:rRNA from 1 species